rnacentral:rRNA from 1 species
GAUGAACGCUGGCGGCGUGCCUAAUACAUGCAAGUCGAACGAAACUUCUUUAUCACCGAGUGCUUGCACUCACCGAUAAAGAGUUGAGUGGCGAACGGGUGAGUAACACGUGGGCAACCUGCCCAAAAGAGGGGGAUAACACUUGGAAACAGGUGCUAAUACCGCAUAACCAUAGUUACCGCAUGGUAACUAUGUAAAAGGUGGCUAUACUACCGCUUUUGGAUAGGCCCGCGGCGCAUUAGCUAGUUGGUAGGGUAAAGGCUUACCAAGGCAAUGAUGCGUAGCCGAAUUGAGAGGUUGAUCGGCCACAUUGGGACUGAGACACGGCCCAAACUCCUGCGGGAGGCAGCAGUAGGGAAUCUUCCACAAUGGGCGAAAGCCUGAUGGAGCAACGCCGCGUGGGUGAAGAAGGUCUUCGGAUCGUAAAACCCUGUUGUUAGAGAAGAAAGUGCGUGAGAGUAACUGUUCACGUUUCGACGGUAUCUAACCAGAAAGCCACGGCUAACUACGUG